AUUGAACGCUGGCGGCAUGCCUUACACAUGCAAGUCGAACGGCAGCACGGGAGCAAUCCUGGUGGCGAGUGGCGAACGGGUGAGUAAUAUAUCGGAACGUGCCCAGUAGUGGGGGAUAGCCCGGCGAAAGCCGGAUUAAUACCGCAUACGACCUGAGGGUGAAAGCGGGGGAGUCGCAAGACCUCGCGCUAUUGGAGCGGCCGAUAUCAGAUUAGCUAGUUGGUGGGGUAAAGGCCUACCAAGGCUACGAUCUGUAGUUGGUCUGAGAGGACGACCAGCCACACUGGGACUGAGACACGGCCCAGACUCCUACGGGAGGCAGCAGUGGGGGAAUUUUGGACAAUGGGCGCAAGCCUGAUCCAGCAAUGCCGCGUGCAGGAAGAAGGCC
rnacentral:rRNA from 1 species